GGCCCUUAUGACCAGGGCUACACACGUGCUACAAUGGCCGGUACAAAGAGUUGCGAUACCGCGAGGUGGAGCUAAUCUCAUAAAGCCGGUCUCAGUUCGGAUUGGAGUCUGCAACUCGACUCCAUGAAGUUGGAAUCGCUAGUAAUCGCGGAUCAGCACGCCGCGGUGAAUACGUUCCCGGGCCUU
rnacentral:rRNA from 1 species